UACGGAAGGUCCGGGCGUUAUCCGGAUUUAUUGGGUUUAAAGGGAGCGUAGACGGCUGUGUAAGUCUGAAGUGAAAGCCCGGGGCUCAACCCCGGGACUGCUUUGGAAACUAUGCAGCUAGAGUGUCGGAGAGGUAAGUGGAAUUCCCAGUGUAGCGGUGAAAUGCUUAGAUAUCACGAAGAACUCCGAUUGCGAAGGCAGCUCACUGGAGCGCAACUGACGCUGAAGCUCGAAAGUGCGGGUAUCGAACAGG
rnacentral:rRNA from 1 species